CCUACGGGUGGCAGCAGUGAGGAAUAUUGGUCAAUGGGCGCGAGCCUGAACCAGCCAAGUAGCGUGAAGGAGGAAUGCCCUAAGGGUUGUAAACUUCUUUUAUAAAGGAAUAAAGUGAGGCACGUGUGCCCGGUUGAAUGUACUUUAGGAAUAAGGCUCGGCUAACUCCGUGCCAGCAGCCGCGGUAAUACGGAGGAUGCGAGCGUUAUCCGGAUUUAUUGGGAUUAAAGGGAGCGUAGAUGGGUUGGUAAGUCAGUUGUGAAAAUCUGUGGCUCAAACGGAACAUUGCAAUUGAAACUGGCAGCCUUGAGUACAGUUGAGGUAGGCGGAAUUCGUGGUGUAGCGGGGAAAUGCUUAGAUAUCACGAAGAACUCCGAUUGCGAAGGCAGCUUACUAAACUGCCACUGACGUUGAGGCUCGAAAGUGUGGGUAUCAAACAGGAUUAGAUACCCUUGUAGUC
rnacentral:rRNA from 1 species